UACAGAGGGGGCAAGCGUUGUUCGGAAUUACUGGGCGUAAAGGGAGCGUAGGCGGAUAGUUUAGUCAGAGGUGAAAGCCCAGGGCUCAACCUUGGAAUUGCCUUUGAUACUGGCUAUCUUGAGUACGGAAGAGGUAUGUGGAACUCCGAGUGUAGAGGUGAAAUUCGUAGAUAUUCGGAAGAACACCAGUGGCGAAGGCGACAUACUGGUCCGUUACUGACGCUGAGGCUCGAAAGCGUGGGGAGCAAACAGGG
rnacentral:rRNA from 1 species